GCUCAGUUCAGAUCGUAGGCUGCAACUCGCCUACGUGAAGGCGGAAUCGCUAGUAAUCGCAGGUCAGCAUACUGCGGUGAAUACGUUCCCGGGCCUUGUACACACCGCCCGUCACACCAUGGAAGUUGGCCACGCCCGAAGCCGUUACUCCAACCCUUGUGGAGGAGGACGUCGAAGGUGGGGCUGAUGACUGGGGUGAAGUCGUAACAAGGCAUCCGUACCGGAAGGUGCGGAUGGAUCACCUCCUAACAGGGAGACAACACAAUGAUUUUGAUGCCUGAGUACUUUUAUUCUUAGGCCGAAAUCCUGUCACCUUAGGUCGAUCGGUACCUCAGCUUUGAAGUCAAGGAUCAGCAGCAAUGUUGAUUGCUUGAUGGAGAUUUUCAGUUCCUAAACUUUGUCUAGGUCACACCCCAAAAGGGAUGAGACUCCUGGGCCAUUAGCUCAGGUGGUUAGAGCGCACCCCUGAUAAGGGUGAGGUCCCUGGUUCAAGUCCAGGAUGGCCCAUUCGGUGUUGGGGGUUUAGCUCAGUUGGUAGAGCGCCUGCUUUGCAAGCAGGAUGUCAGGAGUUCGAGUCUCCUAACCUCCACUGACCGAACUUGAUUCCCAUCUCCAAUUUUUUGGAGUUGAGCUCGAUUGGAGUGUGAUUUAGAUGCGUCCGCUGGAUGACCCCAGCUUCCUGUCAUUCCAAGUUUUAGGUUAAUGCCUUGAAUUUGGUUGAUAAGAUGCUGGGCUCGGAUC
rnacentral:misc_RNA from 1 species